rnacentral:tRNA from 1 species
GCACUCGUAGCUCAGUUGGAUAGAGCUCUGGCUUGCGGAGCCAGGGGUCACAGGUUCGAAUCCUGUCGAGUGCACCA